rnacentral:rRNA from 1 species
UACGGAGGGUGCAAGCGUUAUCCGGCUUUACUGGGCGUAAAGAGCGCGCAGGCGGUCGUUCAAGUCGCGUGUGAAAGCCCCCGGCUCAACUGGGGAGGGUCACGCGAUACUGAUCGACUCGAAGGCAGGAGAGGGAAGUGGAAUUCCCGGUGUAGUGGUGAAAUGCGUAGAUAUCGGGAGGAACACCAGUGGCGAAGGCGACUUCCUGGCCUGUUCUUGACGCUGAGGCGCGAAAGCUAGGGGAGCAAACGGG